rnacentral:lncRNA from 1 species
UGGGACGGAGGUUGUAACUCAGUGGUAGAGCACUCACCUAGCAUGUGUGAGGCACUGGGUUAAAUCCUCAGCACCAUAUAAAUAUAAAUAAAUAAAGAUAUUGUGUCCAUCUACAACUAAAAGAUAUUAAGAAGAAGAAGAAGAAGAAUAGGAGGAGGAGGAGGAGGAAAAGGAAGAGGAGGAGGAAGAAGAAAAAGAGGAGGAAGAGGAGGGCUGGGGUUGUGGCUCAGGGGUAGGGCACUCAGUGCCUAGCAUGUAUGAGGCCCUGGGUUCAAUCUUCAGCACCACAUAAAAAGAUAAAUAAGUAAAAUAAAGGCAUUGUAUCCAACUACAACUAAAAAAUAAAAUAUUUUUUAAAAAGAUAGAGCUGGGGGAUGUGGCUCAAGCGGUAGCGCACUCACCUGGCAUGCAUGCGGCCUGGGUUGGAUCCUCAGCACCACAUACAAACAAAGAUGUUGUGUCCGCCGAAAACUAAAAAAUAAAUAUUAAAUAUGACACCUUUAAAAAAAAAGAUAGAAAGAAAGAAGUGGCAAAUGGGAGCAUCCUUUUCUUCUUCCCAAUUGUACAGGGAAGGAAUGAUAUUAGGGUUUGUUUGUUUUUAGGUUUUUUGUUUUUUGUUUUUUUGUAGAGUCUCUUUAAUCUCUUUUGGUAGAUUGAGGAAGUUCCCUUCUAUUCCUAGUUCAGAGUUAGGUUUUUUUUUUUUUUAAUUAUGAAUGAUAGUUGGAUUUUAUUAAGCACUUUUUUGUGUAUCUAUUGAUGUGAUAAUGUAUUUUUUAUCUUUUAUUAUAGUAUAUUAUAUUGAUGUUUAGAUGUUAAGCAAAUCUUUCUUUUCAGGAUAAAUCCCACUACAUGAUGUAUAAUCCUUCUUAUAUGUUGCUGGAUUUGGUUUAUUAAUAUUUUAUUGAGGAAUUUAAUGUAUACAUUCAUGAGGUAUUUUGAUCUCUAGUUUUCUUCUUUGUGUCUUUAUCUGUAUUUGCAUAAGAUAAUAUUGGCCUCAUAGAAUGAUUUAGGAAAUGUUCUAUUUUCUGCAAGAGUUUGUGUUUAAAAAAAAAAGAUAUUAUUUCUGCAUAUUCUAUUGAAACCAUCUGGGUUUGGGCUUUUCUUUGUGGAAAAGAUUUUUUCCCUGGAGGUUGACCCCUGGGGUACUUUUCCACCAAGCUAUAUCCCCAAUCUUCUUAAUUUUUACUUUGAGAGACAGGGUCUUGCUAAAUUGCUGAGGCUGGUCUCCCACCUGCAAUCCUCUUCGUCCUCCUGAAUACCUGGGAUUACAGGUGUGCACCACUAUACUCAACUUCUUUGUGGGAAGAUUUUUUUUUUUAAGAUUUUUUCUUAGUCAUAGUUGGACACAAUACCUUCAUUUUGUUUGUUUAUUUUUUAUGUGGUGCUGAGGAUCAAACCCAGUGCCUUGCAUGUGCUAGGCAAGCACUCUAUGGCUAAGCUACAACCCCAGCCCUUUGGGAAGAUUUUUAAUUACUAAUUCAAUUUCUUUAUUUGUUUUACAUCCACUCAUGUUUUCUAUUUUUUUAGUCAGUUUUAAUACUUUGUGUCUAAGAAUUUUUCUAUUUCUCUUAAGUUGUCUAAUUAAGACUCUGCUUUAAAUUCUUUUCAGUGUUGACAAAAGUUAAUCAUAGUAUUCCCUCAUAUUCCUUUUCAUUUCUUUAAGAUCUGAGUGUGGUAAUCUGUAUCUCCUCUUUUUUUUAUCUUGGUCAGUCUAAUAAAAGUAUCAAUAAAAAAAUCUUUUGAGGGCUGGGAUUGUGGCUCGGUGGUAGAAUGCUCCCCUAGCAUGUGCAAGGCCCUGGGUUUGAUCCUUAGCAACACAUAAAAAUAAAAAUAAAGAAAUAAAAGGUAUAUAAAAAAAUCUUUUGAACCUAGGGCCUCGCUUAUGCUAAGCAUGUGUUCUACCACUCCACUAUACCUCCGGCCCUCUUUUGCCCUUUCUAAUAUAGACAUCUAUAUUUGGGCAGAUAAUCCCCAGUGCUAUGAAAAUGGUCCCAUUCAGUAGACAUGAUAUGUGUACAUGAAAAAUUCAACACUAUACAAUAAAUUAGGCUUUGUAUUAGAUGAUUUUACCCAAUUGUAGGCUGCUGUAAGUGUUCUGAGCAUGUUUAAGGCAGGCUAUGUUAAAUAUGAUGUUUGAUAGGUUAGUUAUAUUAAAUGCAUUUUUGACUUAUAAUAUUUUCAACUUAUGAUGGCUUAUUAGGACACAAUUCUACUGGAAAUCAAAGAGCAUCUGUCCAUUCUUUGAAAGACCUAAACAACCUCAUUCUACUUGGGAUCUCAUUUUGCUCUAAACUUAACCCCUGACCUACUGAAGUCCUAAAGUCAGGAAAAUACCACAGAAAAGCUCUGUGGAAACAGUUCCCAGAAAAGCCGCAGAUGGUGAUCACCUAAGAUAGGCCAAGACAUUGAAAUAUCUGAAAUUCCAGAAGGCCCCCACCUAGGUGUGGUGACCAAUAUCUAAACUAGAAGCCCUGCAACUUGGCAGGUACCCCCCUUGCGACACCCUCAUGGUUUAAACCAAUCAUUUUUAAGUGCAUUAACCCCUUGAACUAACCAAUAAUUCUUUCCAGAUUCUUUCCUGCCAUUUGAUACGCUAAUCACGUUUUAGAGUUGUUUUAUGAUUUUCCCAUGGUGUGUGAUGAUUUGCUAAGAGAUGCUAUGAUGUAUGUGAAGUCCCUGCCUUCCCCAAAGAGUGUAUAAAACUACUGCAAACCCUGGGCUCAGGGCCUCUCAGCGUCACCAGUUGCUAGGUGCACAUGGAGGACGGAGCUAGUUCGAAAUAAACACCUCUUUGUUGCUUACAUCGAUCUGGGUCUCUGGUGGUCUUUUGGGGUCUUGAAUUCGAGCAUAAUAUCUUCUCGAAUCACUGCUUUGGACUGCCUUACAUACAUCUUGAUGUGUCAUGUGUGCAAAUAUCUCUUUAAGACUCUGCUUUAAAUUCUUUUCAGUAUAUAACCAGAAGCAGAAUUUCUGGACCAUAUAAUAAUUCUAAUUUUAACUUUUUGAGGAAACACCAUACUGUUUUCCACAAAUGUAUGUAACACUGCAUUUCCACUAAGAGUUUACAAGGCUUCUAAUUUCUCUGCAUCCUUCCCCA